UCAUCCACCAAGUCUAGAGUUAUCGCAUAUGAUCUCAUGUUUUCUUCCGUGUCAUAGGAUAAUACUCUGACUGUUGGAAUACUUAGCUCUGUUGGGAUUAGUGCUUCCAUUCCAUAUGCUAGUGAGAACGGGGUUUCUCCGGUGGGUGUUUUUCAGUGGUUCUAUACGCCCACAGGAUCUCUGGUAGCAGAUCUGCCCACGAACCUUUGGCCUGUUCG
rnacentral:lncRNA from 1 species